UUUGCCCUCCUCUAGCCCAACCAAUCUAAACAUACAAACAUAAAUAACCCUAUUACCCUACCCAAAUCAAAACAUUCUAACCCUACUCUUAGUAUAGGAGAUAGAAAAGAUACCCUUGGCGCUAUAGAGGCCAAUUGUACCGUAAGGGAAAGAUGAAAUAAUAAUGAAAAUCUUAAAGCAAAAAACAGUAAAGAUUAACCCUUGUACCUCUUGCAUCAUGAUUUAGCGAGAACAAACCAAGCAAAGCGAACUAAAGUUUGUUACCCCGAAACCCAAGCGAGCUACUUACAAGCAGCUAAAAACUGAGCGAACCCGUCUCUGUCGCAAAAGAGUGGGACGACUUGUUAGUAGAGGUGAAAAGCCAAUCGAGCUGGGUGAUAGCUGGUUACCUGCAAAAUGAAUCUAAGUUCCUCCUUAACGCCCUCCCCCCAGGACACCUUAUCCUAACCACAAUCACGCGAUCGGAUUAAGAGCAAUUCGAAGGAGGUACAGCUCCUUCGAAACAGAACACAACCUUCCCUAGCGGAUAACACUCCCCCUUCCUUCCAUUGUGGGCCUUCAAGCAGCCACCAACAAAAGAGUGCGUCAAAGCUCAUUCCACAAAAAAAUCUCUAAACCCACUUGACUCCCUUACCCUUAGCAGGUCAAUCUAUGACAAUAGAAGAGUUAAUGCUAAAAUGAGUAACUUGGGACCUCCACCCUCUAUGGCGUAAACUUACAUCAAAACAUUAUUAACAAGACCAAACCUAUAUCCCCACUUUAACAAGAAUACAUAUAACCCACCUUGUUAAACCAACCCAGGAGCGCACACAAGAUGAUUAAAAUCUGUAAAAGGAACUCGGCAAACCCACAAAGACCCGACUGUUUCCCAAAAACAUAGCCUUCAGCUAACAACAAGUAUUGAAGGUGAUGCCUGCCCAGUGACCUGCAACGUUCAACGGCCGCGGUAUCCUAACCGUGCGAAGGUAGCGCAAUCAAUUGUCCCAUAAAUCGAGACUUGUAUGAACGGCUAAACGAGGUCUUAACUGUCUCUUACAGAUAAUCAGUGAAAUUAGUAUUCCCGUGCAAAAGCGAGAAUAUAACCAUAAGACGAGAAGACCCUGUGGAACUUUAAAAUAACGAUCACCUUAACACCCUACACCGCCCAAUGGGCCCACUCACAUAAGUACUUGAUCGACAUUUUUUGGUUGGGGCGACCUUGGAGAAAAACAAAUCCUCCAAAUCCUUAGACCACAUCUCUUAAUCGAGAACCACCCCUCAAAGUACUAAUAGUAACUAGACCCAAUACAAUUGAUCAAUGGACCAAGCUACCCCAGGGAUAACAGCGCAAUCCCCUCCAAGAGCCCAUAUCGACAAGGGGGUUUACGACCUCGAUGUUGGAUCAGGACAACCUAAUGGUGCAGCCGCUAUUAAGGGUUCGUUUGUUCAACGAUUAACAGUCCUACGUGAUCUGAGUUCAGACCGGAGCAAUCCAGGUCGGUUUCUAUCUAUGAAUGCACUCCUCCUAGUACGAAAGGACCGGAGAAGUAGGGUCAAUACUAAAAGCACACCCUCCCCCCAAGUAGUGAAUCCAACUCAACUACCAAAAGGACCCCCACAUCCCACUAAACUCCUAGAAAAGGACCA
rnacentral:rRNA from 1 species